rnacentral:rRNA from 1 species
AACGAACGCUGGCGGCAGGCCUAACACAUGCAAGUCGAACGCCCCGCAAGGGGAGUGGCAGACGGGUGAGUAACGCGUGGGAACCUUCCCAGUGGUACGGAAUAACUGACCGAAAGGUUGGCUAAUACCGUAUACGCCCGAAAGGGGAAAGAUUUAUCGCCAUUGGAUGGGCCCGCGUCGGAUUAGCUAGUUGGUGAGGUAAUGGCCCACCAAGGCGACGAGCCGUAGCUGGUCUGGGAGGAGGAUCAGCCACACUGGGACUGGGACACGGCCCAGACUCCUACGGGAGGCAGCAGUGGGGAAUAUUGGACAAUGGGGGCAAGCCUGUUCCAGCCAUGCCGCGUGAGUGAUGAAGGUCUUCGGAUUGUAAAACUCUUUCGCCGGGGAAGAUAAUGACGGUACCCGGAGAAGAAGCUCCGGCUAACUUCGUGCCAGCAGCCGCCGUAA